UACGGGGGGUGCGAGCGUUGUCCGGAAUGACUGGGCGUAAAGGGCGCGUAGGCGGCGCAGUUAGUCAGGCGUGAAAUUCCUGGGCUCAACCUGGGGACUGCGCUUGAUACGGCUGUGCUUGAGGAUGGAAGAGGCUCGCGGAAUUCCCAGUGUAGAGGUGAAAUUCGUAGAUAUUGGGAAGAACACCGGUGGCGAAGGCGGCGAGCUGGUCCAUUACUGACGCUGAGGCGCGACAGCGUGGGGAGCAAACAGG
rnacentral:rRNA from 1 species